rnacentral:lncRNA from 1 species
UAGUUAAAAGAUAGAACAGUCUAAUCAAGUGCCCUGUCUCUUAUUCUUGAUCAGCUAUAGCUCUGGUAUUUUUGCAGAUUUUCAAAUAAAACUCAGUGAUUCCUUGUAUGACUCUCUCGGAUCUCUCUUUUGUAGUAUUUCUGGAUCCUUACCAAGGUAGUGAUAGUAUAUGCCUUCUCUCAAAGUAUAUAAUAUUUAUGGUAUAAGGCAUAGUGACAUUGCCUUCUCUCACCCUACUCUAAUAAGGCUUUUGAUAUCUAGAGCUCAUAGGUGGGAGAUAAAGUAUACAUACUUACAAGACAUUUAUUGCAUAGUCAAACCAUGGAUCCAAAGAAACAAGUCAAGAAGUCAAAUCAAGAUGUGCAUGUGUGGUGAAUGAAUGGUGUAUGGUGAUGAUGGUGAUAACAAUGGUGAAAGUCUAACUCUACUUGUGCUCUUUUGAGGGGACACAUACCUUUCUUGCUUCUUUUGAAACUUUUUGUGGAGAAUGAGAUGCUCUAUAUUUUCUUUUUCUUUCCUCUCAGGUGGGUAUCUUGUACCCCUAAUUCUACUGUCGGACACUUGUCCAUUUUUACCUCUCGUCUCACUUUUUCUUUUCUUUAUAUAAGCAUAAAAUCUUUAUUUGGUUUUCCAUAGUGAUGUAUUUUAAUAUAGUAUUAGUAUAAAUAUAGAUAGAAAGAUAGAAAUACUUAUCGGGAUAAUUGGGGGAGCUCUCCCCCAAGCUGAAUUUUCACGUAAUUUCUCUUGAUGUAGCUAGCAGGUGGUAGAGGUGUGUUUGAAAGUCAGCAACAUUCUGACAGCGAUUCGAAUGUCCUCCGUCUGCUAGUCUUCUUGAUUCUUGAAUUCUCUUGGAGCUCAAAUAGACAACAAAGCUUUGUGGAACUGAUUAGGUGUUAGCAUAAAUAUCUAGCCUUUAUCAUGUUGAUCCUCCUCAAUAAAUAUUACUCCCUUAUUUUUUUAUACUUUUGUUUUAUAAAGCAGAAAAGAAAUAUUUAUUUUAUUUUUAUGCUACCACAGUGAAUGUACUUAUGGGUUUUUUGCCACUCGUAUACUCACAUGGGGCUUACUAUUUUUUAACAUUUUUAUUUUCUUUUUAGGAUAGUAUUAACAUAAUUAACUAAGUGUUGAUGCAAAAGCGGAUCUGCAAACACAAAGGGCUAAUACCCGAUUUAAACGUUAAGGUGUGCCAGCCGAUUUGACCUUACUAUCAGCAAAGGUGGUAACUCGAAUACUUUGGUCCCGACAACAGCGAUGCGCCUGGAUGCCACGGCCAAGAGGUAUUCACGCGGAACUUGAGAACACGUCGAGCUUAAGUCGACGAAUUCCUAAGAACUCGUAAUAAAAGAAAAAAGGUAUGACGAAGUCGUCGAAAAUAGAUGCUAGAAUAUGAGUAAAAACUGGUAUUUGAUUGAUUGAUAG